CGCUCACCAGAGGUCCUUUAGUGUUCUUAUACGUCGCCAACACUCGAUAAUCCCCGUCGCAACAGUAUUGACACUUAACACUUCAUCCUCAUCAACGUGAUUCAGGUGUUCUAGCGAAAACCUUUCUUAUCUUCUCCGUCGCAAUAGUAUUGACACUAACACAUCAUCCUCAUCACCGUGAUUCAGGUGUUCUAGCGAAGGCAAACAGGAAAGAGCCACUGAGGAUCGUACACAAAGUAAGCAGAAUACCUAUUAUCGGAGGUUGGAGUUCAGCGUUCGGGAGGAUCGACCGAUCCUCCCGAUCCUUCAGCGAAACCUACAAAAAAAAAAGCACAAGACUCGCUCGCUCAGUAGGGAAGGAGGAGAAAGUGACUAACGAAAGGGAAUACUCACUUACAGAAAAAAAAUGAGGAGUGAGUAGAGAAGGACUUACGCUCAGCACGAUCGGUUUUCUCCUUCAUCCAUCUGGCGCAAGUUCCACCGCUGAACCUUUCUUCGUGCUCCUCGAACUGCCGGAGAUUGAAGAAGAAUGAUCCGCACGCACCGCAGCGGCGAUCGCAGCUGCGGUGCUUUAUCUGGUUAUGGUCCGCAAAGCCUUUGUCAGUAAAC
rnacentral:lncRNA from 1 species